rnacentral:lncRNA from 1 species
AAAUCAGGAACAUCACACACAAGCCUGCAUUAGACUACAUAUUUUUGUUCACAAAACCGCAUCAUAUUCAUACUAGAGGGAUUCCAAUUUUUAGGCCAACCUGCAACAUUAGGAUACAUCUGUGGCUAGCAAAUGAAUAUAACAAAAGGACAUGGGGGGUGGAAGAAAAAGAAUUAGAGCAAGGGCUGGCUGGAGCAAGGGAGGAAGUGGCUCGUUGGAGCUAAGAAGAAGGCUCCAGCGACACU